GUGGAAUGAAAAACAAUAUUUACCUAGGCGCCUAUUUAUACUAUUUCUAUUUACUCAUCAUUCGGUUCACUCUCAAACCAAUAAUAGACAAGUUUUAGGGAAACUGUAACUAUGGUUCACCACAGACACCCAAGUGAGAUACCAUAAUGGAAAGAUUAUUUGUAGUCCCACAGUAUGCCAAAAUAAAAAUAAACAGACAUUAUAAAUUCUUAACAUAUUGAAUUUAAUCAUUUCGUAAGGUGUUUUCUCUGAAAAAAAAUAAAGGGAAUUGAUGUGCAGAAAUGAUAACUCGUAGAUAAAGCCAAACACGGAGCGACAACAGUGUGCCAACACCUGAUAAGCGAAUGAAAAAGAUA